UGGGGAAUAUUGCACAAUGGGCGCAAGCCUGAUGCAGCCAUGCCGCGUGUGUGAAGAAGGCCUCGGUUGUAAAGCACUUCAGCGAGGAGGAAGGUGGUGGACUUAAUACGUUCAUCAAUUGACGUUACUCGCAGAAGAAGCACCGGCUAACUCCGUGCCAGCAGCCGCGGUAAUACGGAGGGUGCAAGCGUUAAUCGGAAUUACUGGGCGUAAAGCGCACGCAGGCGGUUUGUUAAGUCAGAUGUGAAAUCCCCGGGCUCAACCUGGGAACUGCAUUUGAAACUGGCAAGCUAGAGUCUCGUAGAGGGGGUAGAAUUCCAGGUGUAGCGGUGAAUGCGUAGAGAUCUGGAGGAAUACCGGUGGCGAAGGCGGCCCCCAUGGACGAAGACUGACCGCUCAGGUGCGAAAGCGUGGGGAGCAAACAGAUUAGNUACCCUGGUAGUCACGCUGUAAACGAUGUCGAUUUUGG
rnacentral:rRNA from 1 species